AUUGCGCAAUCCGCGUCACUGACCAAUCAGAGGCCAGAGAUCUGCAUAAACCAAAGCCCGUUUUUGCUCCCACAAUUUUCUCAGACAACAUUGCAUGGUCCUGUAUAGGGUUAGUUAGCGUUUUAUCGCAUAUUUGGGUUAUUUAACAAAAAAUAUGGUUAAGAGGUGUAGUCACGGACUUUGUAAUAGUGACGACAGGUAUCCUGAAAGGCUGGUUGGUGGAGUUCGAUUCGUACCCCUUCCAAAACCGAAGACCCAGUACGAAAAAUGCCUUCGAUGGAUCAAACUCUUUGGAAGACCGCAUCAUCAACUAAGUCCAUCUAAUAUCAACCGCAACACAUAUGUUUGCACGAAGGCCCUUUGAAAGGCGUGUAGCCGGCCACCAUCUCGUAGAUGCUGCAACCCAGUGCCCACCAGUCCACUGACGUCCUGUACGGAGUUUUGUUCAAAAGCUCCGGGGCCAUGUAGGCUCCGGUACCAGCCUGUGGAAGGUUGUACCACCGCCUCCUGCCCGAAGUCAGCUGGGAUAGGCUCCACCACUCCCGCGACCCUUGUGAGGAUAAGUGGCUCGGAAAAUGGAUGGACGUUCACUGACUGCUGCUUGUUGUGAAGUGAGUCAAGUUCAC